rnacentral:misc_RNA from 1 species
UUGAUAAUUUAGCGUAUGCUACACUAAACAUGUGCACUGUUACCGCUAUUUGGCGGCCGAAAGUCGUCAUUCGGCAUCAUUUUAACCUACUAUUAACUUUUUAUAACUGUAAUCAUAAAAUCUUAUGA